GGGGGUGUAGCUCAGUCCGGUUAGAGCGCCUGCCUGUCACGCAGGAGGCCGCGAGUUCAAGUCUCGUCAUCCCCGCCA
rnacentral:tRNA from 1 species